rnacentral:lncRNA from 1 species
UUCCCAUAUAAAAUAAUAAUAAUUAAAAAAUGCAUUACUAGUUUGAUGUAAAGACCUCAUGUGAUCUAACACUCUCAGAGCAGUUGAGGUUCCUAUCAAGGGCAUCUGAGGGUUAGGGGUUCUUCUGUAAUGAAUUCAAACUUUAUUUAGUUUCUUUUGCUUCAUCCAUCCGAGGUUUGCCUGGGUCUUUGCAGUAUGUUGAUCUAUUUUUUAGUGGAAUCCGUUUGCGAGGGCUUAGUCAUUUGCUUGCUUAUUUUCUUUGUCCUGAAUAUACUCCUCUUCCGGU